GAUGUGUUAGUGCAGGUGCAUGGAUUGUUACAAACGUACCACUCUGGUGUGCAGUGUUGAUAAUGGGGAAGUUGUGGGGUGGAAGCAGGGAAACCUCUGUCUCUUCUGCUCAAUUGUGCUGAGAAUCUAAAACUGCUCUAAAAAAUAAAGUCUAUUUUAAAAGAAAAUGUCUCUACAUAUCACCCCAACCAUGGAAUGGAGGUGGGGACAGGGGGUAAUCUUUUCCUCUUUCCACUCUUUGUCACUGUGGACAGACAUUUCUUUCCCAAAGGGAAUUACUCUAUUUGGGGAAGGAGGCAGUGUGGGAAAGCAAGCAAGACAGCCUGUCAUUGUCCAGUAUGCUACUUAUGACAAGUAACUCUUCCCAUCUGAUAUGGUUUGGCUGUGUCCCCACCCAAAUCUCAACUUGAAUUGUAUCUCCCAGAACUCCCACGUGUUGUGGGAGGGACCCAGUGGGAAGUAAGUGAAUCAUGGGGGCCAGUCUUUCCCGUACUAUUCUCGUGAUAGUGAAUAAGUCACAUGAGAUCUGAUGGUUUAUCAGGGGUUUCCACUUUUGCUUCUUCCUCAUUCUCUCUCUCCACCACCAUGUAAGAAGUGCCUUUUGCCCUCCCCCAUGACUGUAAGACCUUCCCCAGCCACGUGGAACUCAGGAUGUACAGACGAAAAAAGACCAGAGGAUAUCAAAUCUCACCACAAGGUGGGAGCAUGCGUCCAGUCAAUCGAGAGAUCCUCUGUGCUGCGCACUGAGAGCACUCGGAGAGAAAUCGUCAACGUGAGGCGCCUCUGGCUUUCCAUCCUUCCAUAUCUGUCUAAUUAACUCACAUGCUAAGAAGACCAGCCAUCAAGCCAGACAAGGAAGCUGGGACUUCAAAUUUCCCCUACCUAGCCUCAACUAUUCUCCCUUUAUGAUGGGCACAUUAAUAUUCUUCCAAAAUAUCAGCAUCAUUUUGCAACUGGCUACAAAAUACUUUAAAAGGAAAGAUUCCACAUGUUCCAGAAAUAAAGUGCUUGAAAUACUUUUGACGAUGAGGAUAAAACCCGUGUUUUAAGAGGAAGUUAGCUAAGGCUGGAGAGUUGGAACCCUCUGGCUUACUGAUAUUUAUUGAUCAAUUACUGUAUGCCCAAACAUGUUGUGUAAUAGUUGAUCAGUAACUACUAAGUAUAAACAAACUUUGACACUCCUUACCACAAAUGGGCUUUAAUAAUAACAAACUAGUGAAGUUGGUUGGGCACAGUGGUUCACGCCUAUAAUCCCAGCACUCUGGGAGGCCGAGGAGGGUGGGUCACAAGGUGAGGAGUUCAAGACCAGCCUGGCCAGGUCUUUUGUAUUUUUUGUAAAAUACAAAAAAUUAGCCAGGCAUGGUGGUGGGCGCCUGUAAUCCCAGCUACUCGGGAGGCUGAGACAGAGAAUUGCCUGAACCCAGGAGGCAGAGGUUGCAGUGAGCCGAGAUCAUGCCACUGCGCUCCAGCCUGGGCAACAGAGCAAGACUCCAUCUCAAAAUAAAAAUAAAAGUAAAUUGGUAAAGUCCUUUUUUUAUAUAGAUUUUUCCCAUGUGUCUGGGAAGACAAAAUGAACAUUUGAAACAUGAAGCAGUAAAGUGCUCAAAUUUGGUAGUUUGAACAAUUAAAAGUUAGGGUAACUGUAGUAUGCUGUUGAAGUAUGCUGAAUGAAGUAUGCUGUUGAAGUAUGCUGAAUAAAGAAGAGAGCAAGCAACUUGGAGAAAGAAAAUCAGAGUCUUCUGCUUGGGGUCUUAGUCACUUUACCUCUGAGUACCUGAUUUGGGGGUGAAGCCCCCAGAACCACAUAUGCUUCAUUUUCAUAGUAUUUAACACUAUCUGCUCCAUGCAAGUUCAUUGAACAAAUGAAUCCAUUUGUAGAGAGGGAAUGAUAAUAAUAUUAACCUCUGUGGCUAGGAGGUUUAAAUGAAAUAAUGAAGCCAAACAGGUUUUGUAACUCAUAAAAUGCUACAAUAUAUUGUAUAUUAUGAUUAAAUGCUAAUCAUACAGCCCAACAAUAGGAGAGCCUGAGGCAGGCACGGAGGAGUCAUUGUCCACCAGAGACCUGUGGGAAGGCUUCUUAGAGACGGGAGAGGGGCAAAGCUCUGGAGCAUACCUCUCCACCUUUCUCCAUCACGAGCAGCCAAUCGGCAUUUAGCAUACCCCACCAGGCAGCAGGAACCCCCUUGCCAGUCUUCAUGGAGAACAUGGGUUCUCAUCUGGGAACAAGUCCAUGCUCCAAAGGCCAGAAAUGCUUCCCUCUUGGCCAGAUUCUUUCCAAAUGGCAGAGAGUGACUUUUCAGCAAAUUGGAUCUAAUAAUAUUCCUGCCAGGAACCCUCCUACCCCCACCUCACACAUUAACAUCCUAGGAAGAAAGGCUCUGGAGCCAUUCAGAAUCUUAUUAUUGCCACUAUAAUUAUUAUAGUUAUGACUAUGACAAUCAUUAUAAGGAAAAUCAUCCAAAUGUAGUAAGGCAAAAAAAAAAAAAAAAAAAAAAAAGAAGGUGACUUCAUGGCUAUGAACAGAGUUAAAAGGCCAGCAGAUAAAGAGAAAUGUCAAUCUCUCUUCUGCCAGGCCACCUCCAAGUGUGUGGGGAAGCUGGGUGUGUAUUGCAGGGGUGCAGGGGAACUGCCCUAUGGGAGGAAGAAGUCCUUUCCUUCUCCUUCCUGUCCAAUACUUGUCUGUUCUCCUUUCCAAAUGUCUCUAGCAGCCCUCAUUUCCUCUCCAUCCCUUCUUUGACUGCCUGAACUCAGGCCCUCAUCACCUCUUGCCUGUAUUAUUGCAAGACCCCCCUCACCCACCUUCCAGCCUCUGGGUUCACCCAGUCUCUCUAGUGUUGCCCCAAAGGGAUCUUUUUAAAAUAGAUGGCAUCAUGACACUCCUCUGUAAAACCCAGGCGAAGCUUCCCAUGGAAAAUAUGAGAAUAUAUGUGGAAGUCUUCUGCAUGGCUUGAAAGGCUUCAGAAUGGUGCUAUUAUCUGCAUGUUUGUGUCCCUCAGAAAUUCACAAGGUGAAGGUGUUAGGAUGUGGGGCCUUUGGGAGAUGAUUAGAUCAUAAGGGUGGAGCCUAUGGGAAUGAAAUUAAUGUCCUCAUAAAAGAGGCUGCAGAGAGGCCCCUCACCCCUUCUGCCAUGUGAGGACCCUGCAAUAAGGUGCUUUCUAUAAGUCAGAACACGGGCCCUCACCAGAUAUCCAAUCUGCCUUGAUCUUGGACUUCCCAGCCCCCAGAACUAUAAGAAAUACAUUUCCGUUGUUUAUAAACCACCCAAUCUAUGGUGUUUUGUUAUAGCAGCGUUAUGUAGCAGCCUAAACAUGCUAAGACAACUGGCCACUGCCUUAUCCUAUGGAGCCCACAGGCAGAAAGACAGAUUCUUGGCUCCUGCACAUACAUCACCCAUUCACAUGCUUUAUGUCCUCUUUUCUCGUAGUCAGUCAAGUUGUUCUCAUAGCCUGGAAGUACCUGUUCAUCCUACCGCCUACCUUUUGAAGUCUUUCAAACCUUGGCUCAGACCACCUGUUCCAAAUAUUUCUCAAUGUUGGAAUUAUCUUCUCCUCAGCCUCUCCUAAGUAUAUUAUUUGCAUUUAAGAUACCCACCCUCAGAUUUGGGCUACUAAGUUCACAUCUCUAGCUCCCUGAGCCUGCAACCCCUGGGUGUC
rnacentral:lncRNA from 1 species